rnacentral:rRNA from 1 species
CAUAGCCACGGUAAUACGUAGGGUGCGAGCGUUAAUCGGAAUUACUGGGCGUAAAGCGUGCGCAGGCGGUUUUGUAAGACAGGCGUGAAAUCCCCGGGCUCAACCUGGGAAUGGCGCUUGUGACUGCAAAGCUAGAGUGCGGCAGAGGGGGAUGGAAUUCCGCGUGUAGCAGUGAAAUGCGUAGAUAUGCGGAGGAACACCGAUGGCGAAGGCAAUCCCCUGGGCCUGCACUGACGCUCAUGCACUAAAGCGUGGGGAGCAAACAGGAUUAGAUACCCGCGUAGUCCCUGUCUCUUAUACA